rnacentral:rRNA from 1 species
GACGAACGCUGGCGGCGCGCUUAACACAUGCAAGUCGAGCGAAGCGGCGGACGGGUGAGUAACACGUGAGUAACCUGCCUUAGACAUUGGGAUAGCCUCGGGAAACCGGGAUUAAUACCAAAUGGUCUAAGAUGGACUCGCGUCCCAUUAGCUAGUUGGUGAGGUAACGGCCCACCAAGGCGACGAUGGGUAGCCGGCCUGAGAGGGUGAACGGCCACAUUGGGACUGAGACAUGGCCCAGACUCCUACGGGAGGCAGCAGUGGGGAAUCUUCCGCAAUGGACGAAAGUCUGACGGAGCAACGCCGCGUGAGUGAUGACGGCCUUCGGGUUGUAAAGCUCUGUUAAUCGGGACGCGGUACCGGAAUAGAAAGCCACGGCUAACUACGUGCCAGCAGCCGCGGUAAUAC